GACGAACGCUGGCGGCGUGCCUAAUACAUGCAAGUAGAACGCACAGUUUAUACCGUAGCUUGCUACACCAUAGACUGUGAGUUGCGAACGGGUGAGUAACGCGUAGGUAACCUGCCUGGUAGCGGGGGAUAACUAUUGGAAACGAUAGCUAAUACCGCAUAAUAUUAAUUAUUGCAUGAUAAUUAAUUGAAAGGUGCAAUUGCACCACUACCAGAUGGACCUGCGUUGUAUUAGCUAGUAGGUGAGGUAACGGCUCACCUAGGCGACGAUACAUAGCCGACCUGAGAGGGUGAUCGGCCACACUGGGACUGAGACACGGCCCAGACUCCUACGGGAGGCAGCAGUAGGGAAUCUUCGGCAAUGGACGAAAGUCUGACCGAGCAACGCCGCGUGAGUGAAGAAGGUUUUCGGAUCGUAAAGCUCUGUUGUAAGAGAAGAACGGGUGUGAGAGUGGAAAGUUCACACUGUGACGGUAUCUUACCAGAAAGGGACGGCCAACUACGUG
rnacentral:rRNA from 1 species